rnacentral:rRNA from 1 species
CCUACGGGUGGCUGCAGUGGGGAAUAUUGGACAAUGGGCGAAAGCCUGAUCCAGCCAUGCCGCGUGUGUGAAGAAGGCCUUCGGGUUGUAAAGCACUUUCAGUGGGGAAGAAAGCCUUGGGGCUAAUACCCUCGAGGAAGGACAUCACCCACAGAAGAAGCACCGGCUAACUCCGUGCCAGCAGCCGCGGUAAUACGGAGGGUGCGAGCGUUAAUCGGAAUUACGGGGCGUAAAGCGCGCGUAGGCGGUCUGAUAAGCCGGUUGUGAAAGCCCCGGGCUCAACCUGGGAACGGCAUCCGGAACUGUCAGGCUAGAGUGCAGGAGAGGAAGGUAGAAUUCCCGGUGUAGCGGUGAAAUGCGUAGAGAUCGGGAGGAAUACCAGUGGCGAAGGCGGUCUUCUGGACUGACACUGACGCUGAGGUGCGAAAGCGUGGGUAGCAAACAGGAUUAGAUACCCUGGUAGUC